AUAUUUAAAAUAAUUUUCUGGACUGACAGGAAGGAAUUAAAUAAAUUUGGUGAGCUGUCGAAAUAGUAAUAUUCUGAAUUCAGAAUAACAGAGUUGUUGUUGUUUCUAAGGAAAAGAUAUAAUGCUUAUCCUAUUUGACCAAAAAAAUUAAAAAAAUUAAAAAAAUUAAAAAAAAAUAAUGCUUAUCCUCAGGCGGGCACAGAGAAACAUUUGUUUUUGUAAUUAUGCUGAUUAAAAGAUAAAUAACGAAAAUGUCCUCACCUAACCGCUAUUUUGGAGGGUAUGAUUGGAAUAACAUCAAAACAGUGGGAGAUCUGUUGAGUAUUUGGCGGCAUUAGUGAUAAUUAGUUGAGCAAGAGGUGGACAUGAUUAGAAAAUCGAUUGUCCAUGGAUGAAGUGAGUGCCGAAAUAUAAGAUAUAUAUAUGGGUUAGGGUUAGUUCAUGCUCAAAGUGAGUUAAGUAGGCUACGCCUAAUUUUGCAUGGAUAAAAAAGUAAGCCAGAUCUGUUCGUUGGUGGACGGUUUAAAUAACUUAAAAUUAUACGUUACAAUUGAUUUGGAAAAAUUAAAUGUCGAAAAAAUAUAUUUAUUAGACAUGAACAACUCCAUUUUAAGAUUUUAAAUUUUAAAUUAGAUUAUGUAAACUUUAUCAUUGGUCAUUGUUAUAUUUGAACAUACAGCUUUGUUUGAAUCUGAUCAUUAAUAUCCAGAAGAAGAAAAAAUGUUCAUAUGGACAAAUCUAUUUAGCCGUGGACAACUCAUUUGACAUUUAAUUGAGGAAGGAGAUAGAUAGCAUCGGGAUUGCAAUAAUGGAGUUGUAUUUGUGUGUUGUAGUCGUGGACGACAUUGACAACGAGUUUCAUAGUUGUUGCUUUGUUGCCUUGUGAUAACGAUAGAGGACAUAUUACAACGGUUAAGUGACUUAAUAAUCAUGUUUGUUUUUGUGUUUGUUAGUGACAACAACAAGUUUAGUCGUUAGUCGUCCAAACUUGUCAUACAAAACGUAAACAAGAUUUAGUCGUUGGCGACUAUGAAACAACCAACAAAAACAUUAUUGUUGUCGCUUAGAUUUAAAGGUUGGUGGACUAAAUUGAUUCCAUUUGUUUUCUUCUUGAUUGUGCUUGCCCAAAUCGAGCAACAUUUCAUCUUAAAAUCUCAUAUAUAUGUAUAUGUGACAAAACGUGGAUUAGUGAGAUAUAUAUGGAUAUAGCGUUUCACAUUAGCUCACUGAAGAUAGUUUUGUUGUUUUUGUAAAAUUGAUAGCCAAAUCUGCUGUGGUCCUUUUGGGUAAACAUCACACGAUCUAGCUGUUGCUCUAUGGAGCCCAGUAGCAUAAAGUUUAUGACAAUUCAGUUUAUAAUUUUUAAAAUCGAUUACAAUAUACUUUUUAUAUAUAUAUCUUUUUGAAACUACUCUACUUGAAAAAUCGUAUACCUUUAUGUCUGAAUUUAUGGGCUUUCCAUAUGAGAACCUUACAAAAAGAACUCACGAUCUUCUUUUUUUCAACAAAAAAUUCACAAUCAAAUCUCAAGAGAGAGAAGAGCUUGUUUAGCCAAUCAUUUUGACAUAUCAGUUAUCAUAAACCUAUCACUUACGAGAAAACAUAUCGUUUAACAAAAAAAAAAGAAACAACCUAACGAUUCUCUCUUCGUCUUCUCCUUUUUCCAUUCUAUUUAAACAGAUUAGAUUUUCAAGCCUCCACCGAAAUCAAGGUUGAGUUACCUAGAAUCAAAGCAGUACAUGUGUAUAUGCAGUUCAAGUGAGUCGACUCAAGGGGUGACGGCUAAACUGAUCUUGCAAGACCGAAGGAUGAUUGAGUUUACAUUGCCGUAAGCGAGAUUAUUCUACCAACAGAUGGUCUUGGGAAUCUUAGUGGAAGAGAAGGCAUGCUUAAGCAGAACACAAUUAGAUUCCGAGGUUAUAAGUCAGUCCUUCCUGAUUUUGCUGAAGUUACUAUCAUUGGGAAUUUCUUCGAUCCUUACAGCAACAGCCGAAUGAAAAAGCUCAAGCAAAGUGGAUCCUAUAAAUUUCGAAACUGUGAGUGUUAGAACAUGCUUGCUUGCCUUUAGGUUAUAUGAUGUGUGUGACAGUGAUACAUCAAUCAUUUUGGGCGUCGACUUGAAAUCAGCUUCCUCUUUGAUCUCUCUAACUCUCUUCUUCUAUCUGCAACUGAUGCAGCAUCGGAUACGUCUUUGGCGCCAACAUCAUAAGUUUGAAUAAUACUUUAGCUUUAUCGAUUUAGGUUUUGGUUUUACAUGUCUUUCUUUUAAAAAGUUAUAUUUCCUUUUAAAAUAAGGUUUAUAGAAUCCUUUUCCUCUUAGGAAUUGUCUAAAGGAAGGAUUAUAUAAGCAGAGUUGUGGCUUUCUUAUUUGAUAUGUUUGAUUUAAUAGAAGAGUUUUUGCUUUA